GAUGGCUCUAGGUUGAAAAAUUUGAUAUUAAAGUGAAUAGUUAUAGUAUUUUAUGAGAAAAUGUGUUUAAUUAUAAAACUGAAAAGGUAAGAUAAAAGAUAGUAAAUAGAAGGGUUAUAGUGACGUACCUUUUGCAUCAGGGCUUAUUAAAUUUAGGUUAUAUAAGAGUUCUCGAGGUAACAGGGGCUAUUGUGUACAGAUAUUGUUUUCGUGGUAGUGAAAUUUGGUAGUAUGUGAUAGUAAUGAGAUAUUAACCGGCUGUUAGGAUAUCUAGUUUUUUACUAAAUAGUUAAUGCUAGUGAGGUUAAAGUCUGUAAGAUUAGUUACAGGCUGGUUUAAUUUUUUUGUAUUUAUUAAGUAUGGGUUGCUUUAAUGGUAAGAAUUAGUUAGUGUGUUAUUACAAGUACUUAUUAUAUUUGGAUUAAAAGUAAAAUUAGGGUAUAGUAAAUGUUUUAAUUUAAUGUUAAAUUUAAAUUGAUAAUGAUAAGAUGAGUAUAUUUUGUUUAAUAAUUGAAAUUAUAUUAGAAGUAAAAGUGUUUAAGUAAAAGUUAAUUAUAAAUAACUCGGCAAUAAAGUUCUAAAAUGUUUAACAAAAACAUUUCCUUUUCAGUGAAAGGUAAAUUCUGCCCGGUGCGAAAGUAAACGGCUGCGGUAUCCUGACCGUGCGAAGGUAGCAAAAUAAAUAGUCUUUUAAUUGGGGACUGGUAUGAAAGAUUUAAUUAGGAACUUGCUUUUUUGUAUUUAAAUAUAGAAUUUGAUUAAUAAGUUAAAAGGCUUAUAUAUAUUAAAGUGACAAGAAGACCCUAAAAGUUUUACAGAUAAUGUUGAUUUGAGGUAGUUAGUUGUCGAUAUUUUGUUUGAUUGAUUCUGUUUGACUGGGGCGGUUUAAAUAUUAUCUAUUUAGUAUUGGACUUAAAUAUGAGAAGUGAAUUAUUUAGUAUCCUUUUUGGAAAGCAAUAUAAAUUACUUUAGGGAUAACAGCAUAAUCUUUUUUGAGAGACCGUAUUGACAAAAAGGUUUGUGACCUCGAUGUUGGAUUUGAAUAACUUUUUGGAGCAGCAUUUAAAUAAGUUGGUCUGUUCGACCAUUAAAUUUCAACAUGAUCUGAGUUCAGACCGGCGUGAGCCAGGUCAGAUUAUAUCUUUUAAUUUUAUUAGUUUGGUUUUGUACGCAAGGACUUAUUAAACGGGAAUUUCUAUUAAUAAUUAG
rnacentral:rRNA from 1 species